GUAGGUGGCAAGCGUUGUCCGGAAUUAUUGGGCGUAAAGCGCGCGCAGGCGGGUUCUUUAAGUCUGAUGUGAAAGCCCACGGGCUCAACCGUGGAGGGUCAUUGGAAACUGGAGAACUUGAGUACGGAAGAGGAAAGCGGAAUUCCACGUGUAGCGGUGAAAUGCGUAGAGAUGUGGAGGAACACCAGUGGCGAAGGCGGCUUUCUGGUCUGUAACUGACGCUGAGGCGCGAAAGCGUGGGGAGCAAACAGGAUUAGAUACCCUGGUAGUCCACGCCGUAAACGAUGAGUGCUAAGUGUUAGGGGGUUUCCGCCCCUUAGUGCUGCAGCUAACGCAUUAAGCACUCCGCCUGGGGAUACGGCCGCAAGGCUG
rnacentral:rRNA from 1 species